GGCAACGUGGGUGAGUGGUUAAGCCGUAAGACUCGAAUUAAUUCGACGAUAUCUUAUCCCUUCGGGGUCGCAAGUUCGAAUCUUGUCGUUGUCG